rnacentral:rRNA from 1 species
UUUCCGUAGGUGAACCUGCGGAAGGAUCAUUACAGUAUUCUUUUNGCCAGCGCUUAACUGCGCGGCGAAAAAACCUUACACACAGUGUUUUCUUUAUUAGAAACUAUUGCUUUGGUCNGGCUCAGAAAUGAGUUGGGCCAGAGGUUUACCAAACUUCAAUUUUAUUGAAUUGUUAUUUUAUUAAUUUGUCAAUUUGUUGAUUAAAUUCAAAUAUCUUCAAAACUUUCAACAACGGAUCUUUUGGUUCUCGCAUCGAUGAAGAACGCAGCGAAAUGCGAUAAGUAAUAUGAAUUGCUGAUUUUCGUGAAUCAUNGAAUCUAUGAACGCACAUUGCGCCCUUUGGUAUUACAAAGGGCAUGCCUGUNUGAGCGUCAUUUCUCUCUCAAACCCUNGGGUUUGGUAUUGAGUGAUAUUUUUAGUCGAACUAGGCGUUUGCUUGAAAAGUAUUGGCACGAGUGGUACUAAAUAGUACGACAGAAUAUUUCAAUGUAUUAGGUUUAUCCAACUCGUUGAGACUUCUCCGGUUAAUUUUUGGUAUCU